rnacentral:rRNA from 1 species
UACGAAGGGGGCUAGCGUUGCUCGGAAUCACUGGGCGUAAAGCGCACGUAGGCGGAUUGCUAAGUCAGGGGUGAAAUCCUGGAGCUCAACUCCAGAACUGCCUUUGAUACUGGUGAUCUUGAGUCCGGGAGAGGUGAGUGGAACUGCGAGUGUAGAGGUGAAAUUCGUAGAUAUUCGGAAGAAACACCGGUGGCGAAGGCGGCAUCCUGGACCGGUAUUGACGCUGAGGCGGCGAAAAGCCAGGGGAGCCAAAGCGGG